UCUAGAGCCAUUGUCUGUCCUCUCCCAGGAGAGUCCUUGACUUUGGCUUGGCCUCCUCGCCCAGAGGUGAAACCGCUUUUUAAAACAUCGCCAUUGCCUCGCACAAUGUUUUCGAGUCCACGCGCAUACCGAGCUGGAAGCCAGUACACACAGGAACAGAGCCUUCUGUGGGGCUCAACACCUGGCAGUCCUCAUGUCCCGCUCCAAGUCCAUUGGGCAAGUUUUGUUUGGAUCUCACGGACAAUUUCCUUUUCAGGGCCCAACAAUGGCUGGCCUUGCUGUGGCUUAAAGGUGAGUCUCACUUUUCUUCUCAGCAUCUGACCCGUGCCAGACCAGGAUAGCUUCUGCGGGCUCUUGGAGAAACCUGGAGCAAGCUUCAUUUCCCAAACUGUCUUGUGUUGCUUCAGCCUGCCUGCAGGGGUCGCCUUGGUCCUCCUGCCUUCGCCUGCAGCAAGGCCGCAUUUUAGGUGUGUUUGUUGCUGAUACACAUUUAUAGUGAAGACCUCCGUGGUCCUGACUCAAGAGCUCACUUUUAUUUCUCUCAGUUUCAUAUCUUCCAGGAUGGAUCCCUUAUUCAUGGCCUUCUGCCUGGCAGGAAACAAAUGCUUUCACGGAUGCUGGAUUGCAGGCCAGCAUCCUCUGGACCCAUCGUCGGAGGCUCUUGAGACCCAUGAAGAAUGAACAUCUCAGAGCGACGAGGACACAGCCGAGCUUGGAUCUGCUGGAGAAAGUCGACCUUUAAGGCUAUGUAUUUUCCUCUUGACAUUUAAUUUUAUGCCAACAAGGGAAACUCUCUGGCAAAUUUAACCCAAAUGGGGAUUUCGUGUAAAUGCUGCAUGACAUCACUAAGUCUUAGGCCUCAUAGAAGCACUGCAUACACCGUUACUUCAGACAGUCCUCAUUGAUCCUGCGCCAUUGCCUCGGACAGUUCCUGGUCUUUCUCCUUCAUAAGACUAUACUGGGGACCAGUAUGACAGAGAGCUAACCAGAGCCACUAGCUCUUGGCCAUUAUGGAAGUCAUGUCUUCAGUUAAGUUUUUUGGAUGUCAACGUUUUCUUGGCCAUUUCACUCUAAUAUUCAGCUAACCUUGUUCCAGAAACUACAAAAUAAUCGUGACCCAACAUUUGAAGCCAGUGGUUUUCAAGCAACCAUAAUUAGUUCAAAAGACAAGUAUAAAGAAUUUCAAAAAGCACACCUAUGAUUUCAAAUUACCUGUGUUGUUCUGCUGUAAUAUCCCAAAGCUGUUAAGAGUGUUGGAGGUCUGGGCACAAGGGUGGGAAGUCACGCCCUGCCGGAGAGGCUACUUCCUCCGGUCAGAUCAGGUGUUAUCAAUGUUAUUGCUUGAGCAGCGCCAGCUAGCAGUGCACACAAUUAAAGCAGGAACUAAUAAAAUGUGGGGCAGAGAAAGAACAGAGGUGCUGAACCCCUGAAGGCCUGGCUGGAAUCUGAGUGUACCACGUUGAAUGCCAAGGAGCGCCAUGUCUGUCUGUAAAACAGGUUGACCCGUGCAGUAUCCAGCCAGCGCCUGGCUACAGGAGGGGGCUGAAGGAGCAGAAGGUGCUCCCACAGCAGUAGGGCUCUAGUGACUUGUAGACUGCUGUUCCGUUCCUGUACAUCAUCUGCUGUAGUCCCUUUCCAAACCGGGUUCUUCUGCAGAGGGAAGGUCAGCAUAGGCUCGGAAGGAAAGCCCCAUCAGUGCAGAGUAAAUCCUUAAGGAUUGAAAAGGAGGCUGUUAUUGCUGGAUGGUCAGAUCUUGGUUGUACUGGGACAGUCUGGGGGUGCUUACUCAUGCCAUGUGGGUACCCCUAAACACAUCCACAUGGUGGAAAGCACUGCAGUUGGCUUUUGUUCCCAUCAUGGGGAAGGCAAAUUAUUAUAAAAAGGGUCAAAGAACUUUUCUCAGUGGACUAUAGGGUUAGUCAUCUGUCUUUAGGCAGACCAUGAAUUGGUUUUUUUUUUUAUCAUUUAAAACUUUUAAAAUAUUGUAUUUUAUUGUGUAUGGGUGUGUUUUGCCUGCAAGUUUAUCUGUACAUUACAUGUGUGCCUGGUGCCCAAGGAGACCAAAAGAGGGCAUUGGGUUCCCUGGAACUGGAGUUACAGACAGUUGUGAGCUGCCAUAUUAGGGCUGGGAAAUGAAUCUGGGUCCUCUGGAAAAAAAGCCAGUACUCUUAUCUACUGAGCGUCUCUCCAGCCCUUAGUACAGUAGUCAGCUGUUGGGUUGUGACUGUCACAGGGGUCACAUAUCAUGUAUUUGCAUUAUAAUUUGUAACAGUAGCAAAAUUAUAGUUAUGAAGUAGUAAUGAAAUAUCUUUUUAUGGUUAGGGGUUACCACAAAAUGAAGAAUUAUAUUAAGGGGUCCCAGCAUUAGGAAGGUUGAGAACCAUGGCCUUGGUGGAUUGAUUUGAAGAAGAAUGGAUUCUUUCAUGAAAUGCCUAUUGGAGUCAUGUGGGGCCUACAUCUGAAAACAGAGUUUUCUCCAGCUGAACACCAAACACGAAUCAGUCAAGACUUUAGAAAAGUGAAGAUAAAGCCCUCAAACCAUUUUCUUGAGGCGUGUACAGUUUUUCCUGGGAAAAGAUAUUAACACUUGCUUGCCGAAUGCUUCAACCCCACUGCUGUCUCCUCCUGCCAAUACAUACGGCAUCUGAAUGCCUCUUUUGCAUUUACACACUGUCUCUGCUCUAUAGUAGCUAGUCUGGCUGUUUCCUAUGAACAAGGGAGAGCCUUUAUGUUGAGGACUGGAAAUGCAGUUGUGUAGUUUAGAACGCUUUGGUUUUCAGCAGCUGAAAAGUGCACAUCCUCCCAGUAUUUCAGAUGAGGUACCAGUGUUUGCACAUGCUCAAGCAACCUGAGUUGGAAUUACCAUGAAAAACUUGCCUCUAACCACUUGGCAAAGCGCUGGCUCCUAGGCCGCUGCUUUGGCAAGUUUCCUUUGGGAAAUGUUGGCGGUGUCCUAGCUUCAAGCCGAACAACGUGAAUUGCAAUUUGUCUCUUCUUGUUUUUAAAGACGAAUGUGGAAAGGAACACUUCUGAUAAGCAAUAAGACAAAGAUAACCUAUCAGAUGAAGGGGGUGAAGUGCAGAAAACCCACAAUCAUGUAACAAAUGGACUGAAGCUAGCCAGUGUUCCAUCACAUCUUAAAACCCGAGCCCAGCAGCAGCACAAAGGGGUGUGUGUCUUCCUGCACCCCCAGUGAAGGCCAUUUAACACUAGGAAUGCUCCCAGCAGUGCGUUUCAAUAAAAGUAGCCUUUCUUAUGGCAUUUGGGGCCUGGCUCUUUGAAAAUUAUACUGUUCAGUGUCUACUGAAAUUGUUUGUUGUCUAUAGGAUGUGUAUAGGAUGGGCAUAUACAUUAUCCUCUGCCCUGGACUCGCUUUGAAGUGAAAGGGAGAACCAUCAAGAGCUACACCAGGAUCAUAGGCAUAAAGCCGGAGAAAGUGACCAUUGUGGGAAUGUGGAUUCAUGGAGUAUGGCCAUAGGGUUCUUUAUUUUAUAUGCCACCGUGUAUUAUUUAUGUAUCUUUAACAGAUGGGUAACUAUGCUCUUUCAUUCACUGUUGUGGUGGAACUGAGUGGAAUCAUGUCUAUAUUCCUGGAGCUAAGACCUUGCUUGGCUUCGCAGGUCUUCGGCAUACACUAGCACGCACCACUACACAGACUAUUGUAGGGCCCACCCAAAAAUCAAAACCACCAUCUGGCUCUCAUCGGUUUAGUUUGUUACCAGUUUAUAUCCUUCAGGGCUCCAUCAGUGGCGUAUAUGCUAGACUGCAAGAUCAAAGUGAACCGGCAGAGGAUUCUGGACUUUUCCAUAAGGUCCCGGAUUCUAGUCCUAUCCUUAUCAGAAGCUAACUGUGAUUUUUGGCAAGCCAUGUAACCUCUCUGUGUUUCCCAGGGCUUAUCUCGAAGGCUGUGGGUAAGGACUAUCUGAUGCUCAGACCUCCAAGCUUUGUUGGGCAGAUGCAGUUGGGUGAUGGACAGGGAAGCCUCCUGGAAAGGACCAUACACACGUGGAGCCUUAUUGUUACAGGAGAGCAGAGGAGCCGUGUGACGGAGUGACAGGGCUUUCAACUCUGGCUGGCCUUGGAGAGUAGGCUUGUGCAAACAAGUGAUGGAAAUGAGGCCAGGAGCAGGCCUGAGUAGGAUUGGGGGGCUGAGGAGAGGGGGCAGGGCUGUGGCCAGCAAGGACAGGGCAGUUGGUGGGGUUUGCCUUGUAGCUUGGCUGCCCCUGCCGUGUGCAUCAGAGCAGUUCACUUGCUGCACCCUCAGUUCUAGGCUGUGCGCGUACUCACUUCUCAUUAGCACGGGUAUUGCUUUAUUUCGCAAUCCAGUAGAAAUCGGAAAAACCAAACUCUCCGGACCU